GCCGGUGUGGUGGAAUUGGUAUACACGACGGAUUCAAAAUCCGUUGCCGAAAGGCUUAGCGGUUCGAGUCCGCUCACCGGUACCA
rnacentral:tRNA from 1 species